rnacentral:lncRNA from 1 species
UAACCUGUUAGGGCUAGGGGGCAGUAUUGACACGGCUGGAUAAAAAACGUACCCGAUUUAAUCUGGUUACUACUCCUGCCCAGGAACUAGAAUAUGCAUAUAAUUAUUGGCUUUGGAUAGAAAACACCCUAAAGUUUCUAAAACUGUUUGAAUGGUGUCUGUGAGUAUAACAGAACUCAUAUGGCAGGCAAAAACCUGAGAAGAUUUCAUGCAGGAAGUGGCCUGUCUGACAAGGUGUCGUUCUUCUUGUCUCUGUUUAUUGAAGAGUGAGGAUCUUAGCUGUCCCGUGACACUUCCUACGGCUGCCAUAGGCUCUCAGAAGGCAGCAAAAUGCUGAAUCGUGGCUUUGCAGGCUCUGGCUGAAACAAAGUAGCGCGUUUGGGUAGUGGCUGGUUACAGUACUGUGAGACUCAGGCUCGUGCCCGCGUCGACCGAAAGCUUUGUUUUCUUUCCUCUGUUUAGCUAAAUGGACAUUCCCGGUCGGAAUAUUAUCGCUUUUUUACGAGAAAAAUGGCAUAAAAAUGGAUUUUAAACAGCGGUUAACAUGCUUCGAAGUACGGUAAUGGAAUAUUUCGAUUUUUUUCUGUCACGAAUUGCGCCAUGCGCGCGACCCUUAUUUACCAUUUCGGAUAGUGUCUGGAACGCACGAACAAAACGCCGCUAUUCGGAUAUAACGAUGGAUUAUUUUGGACCAAACCAACAUUUGUUAUUGAAGUAGCAGUCCUGGGAGUGCAUUCUGACGAAGACAACAAAAGGUUAUGAGAAUCUACCGUCUGAAGCUGAAGCAAUACCCUUUACCCAAGGACUGUACCUGAAAUGAUACAAGAUCACCGGUGAAUUGUUCAUUAGAAAAGUCCUUAUCAAUCAGUGGAACGGAAGAAGAAUUCCUCACUACCGGCAGACUGUCAGAACAUCAUUUCUAAUAGUUAUCUAUGUGGGACUGAUACCAGUGUGGAAGAGCUGAUCAAUUUUAAAGUUCUUGCUGAGUGAUUACCUUGCCAAUAGGACGAUUGAAUAUUAUAGUCUUGUAGACAAUUAUUUAUUUUGUGAGUUUCCUCCUAAUACAGGAUGUGGUAGGAAUCGUAAGGGACAUCAUCAUUACACAUGUUAAUACUUAUCUUCUAUAACUUUGUUUGAAAUCUAUUUCUUAUUGUAACAGAAAGUAAAAUAUGCCCUUUGUGUUUUAUAGAAAUGCAAGGUGUUUAAUGAAAAUUAUUUUAUGCUUACUGCUGUUUUUAAUACUGUUUUCUAAAAACACAUUUUAAGUAUAUUUCUUCUUAAAAUGGUCGAGAGGGGAGUGUAAGAACAUUUCGAAGAAAAUACACAACGCAGAGGACGAGAGGUCAAUAGAGUACUAACGAUCAAUGGAAAUAGUGUUUUUUCUGUCAUAUCAUUGGGUCAGAGACAUGGAGGAAUUUCAGUCCGGGACUCAUAGCUACAUGGCAAGCUCUCAUUUGUCCAAAUUAUUUAUACAUUGAACCUGAAAUAGUAUACUUGUUACUUGGCCAUUGGCCCAGUUUUAUUGCAAGGAAUUCUAAUUGGUCGACCACAGGCUAGGGCUGGGUUAUAAAACUACAUCCUGUCCCUUUGUUCUGUGGAGAGAACUACAGGAAAGAAUCACUGAGGACAGGGGAGCAUGAACAUCUACCAUCUACCUCCCCGGAUGAUGUGUUCUCUUUGAAUAAACCUAUUUUCCUCCCCCUGAUUUGCUUUGGGGUCUGUGUUAUUGAAGCAUUGUCACGUCCUGACCAGUAAAAGGGGUUAUUUGUUAUUGUAGUUUGGUCAGGACGUGGCAGGGGUGUGUUUGUUUAGUAUGUUUCGGGGUUUUUGGUUUAUGUUUUCUAUUUCUAUGUGGGUUUUUUAGUUUGUCUAUUUCUAUGUUAGUUUUGGGAACGACCUCCAAUUAGAAGCAGCUGGUUGUCGUUGCUUCUAAUUGGAGGCCAUAUUUAAGUGGGUUUAUUUUCUCUUGUGUUUGUGGGUGGUUGUUCCAUGUAUAGUCUUAGUACCUUACAGGACUGUUUUUCGAUGUUCUUUUGUUCAGUGUUCAUUUCUUUAAUAAAUCAAGAAGAU